rnacentral:rRNA from 1 species
GAUCAUGGCUCAGAUUGAACGCUGGCGGCAUGCUUUACACAUGCAAGUCGAACGGUAACAGCACUUCGGUGGCUGACGAGUGGCGAACGGGUGAGUAAUGUAUCGGAACGUGCCCAGUAGUGGGGGAUAACUACUCGAAAGAGUGGCUAAUACCGCAUGAGAUCUCUGGAUGAAAGCGGGGGACCGUAAGGCCUCGCGCUACUGGAGCGGCCGAUAUCAGAUUAGGUUGUUGGUGGGGUAAAGGCCUACCAAGCCUGCGAUCUGUAGCUGGUCUGAGAGGACGACCAGCCACACUGGGACUGAGACACGGCCCAGACUCCUACGGGAGGCAGCAGUGGGGAAUUUUGGACAAUGGGCGCAAGCCUGAUCCAGCAAUGCCGCGUGCAGGACGAAGGCCUUCGGGUUGUAAACUGCUUUGUACGGAACGAAAAGCCUUCUUCUAAUACAGGAGGGUCAUGACGGUACCGUAAGAAUAAGCACCGGCUAACUACGUG